AUUGAACGCUAGCGGGAUGCUUUACACAUGCAAGUCGAACGAGUGGCGGACGGGUGAGUAAUAUAUAGGACCGUGCCCAGUAGCGGGGGAUAACUACUCGAAAGAGUGGCUACUACCGCAUACUAUUGGAGCGGCCGAUAUCGGAUUAGCUAGUUGGUGGGGUAACGGCUCCCCAAGGCAACGAUCCGUAGCUGGUUUGAGAGGAUGCCCAGCCACACUGGAACUGAGAAACGGCCCAGACUCCUACGGGAGGCAGCAGUGGGGAAUAUUGGACAAUGGGGGAAAGCCUGAUGCAGCCACGUCGCGUGUAUGAGAAGGCCUUCGGGUUGUAAAGUACUUUUAGCGAGGAAGCGUUAUCAGCAGAAUAAGCACCGGCUAACUACGUGCCAGCCGCCGCGGUAAUUC
rnacentral:rRNA from 1 species